rnacentral:rRNA from 1 species
GGGUGAGUAAUGGUCUGGGAAACUGCCUGAUGGAGGGGGAUAACUACUGGAAACGGUAGCUAAUACCGCAUAACGUCGCAAGACCAAAGAGGGGACCUUCGGGCCUCUUGCCAUCAGAUGUGCCCAGAUGGGAUUAGCUAGUAGGUGGGGUAACGGCUCACCUAGGCGACGAUCCCUAGCUGGUCUGAGAGGAUGACCAGCCACACUGGAACUGAGACACGGUCCAG